CUUGGAUUUUAUUUUUUUCAUAGGUCUCUGUAUAUUUCCUAAGGCUAAAUCAUGUCAUUUUUAUUCAUGACCACCCUUUGCCAUUGGUUUUCAGAAAAGUCAUCACUGAUUACAGUGAGCAUGAAAAGCCUGGUGAUGACAUUCCUUACCUCUUGUGAGGACCUGAUUUCUCAGUUAUUGAGAACAUAUUGCUGUGUUGGGAGACACCAGGAAAUUAGGAUUCCAGCUCUAAGGAGCAGCACAAGGGGAUAGAGAGCAGACAAACUGCAUUAUCCUGGGGCUGUGCACUUAUGGUCCUUCCACCCUUCCACAGAGCUUUUCUUACAUGAGUGGAAAAAAGGCCUGGUUAGGUACAGGAAAAAACCCUUCCAAUGGUGAGAAUUAACAUUUAAGAUGUGGGCAGGCUGGAGAGAGUCCAGAGAAGAGCCACAAAGAUGAUCAAAGGACUGAGAAGCCUGCUGUAGAGGAAAGGCUGAGAGAACUGUGUUUGUUCAGCCUAGAGAAAAAAAGGCUCAGGAGAGACCUUAUCACCAUGUUCCGGUAUUUAGAGUGGCUACAGAGAAGAUGGAGACUCCCUUUUUACAAGGAGUCACAUGGAAAAGAUGAGAGGUAAUGGGCACAAGUUACAUGUGGGGAGGUUCCAGCUGGAUACAGGUGGAAAAUUUUUC
rnacentral:lncRNA from 14 species